rnacentral:rRNA from 1 species
GACGAACGCUGGCGGCGUGCUUAACACAUGCAAGUCGAACGGAAAGGCCCUGCUUUUGUGGGGUGCUCGAGUGGCGAACGGGUGAGUAACACGUGAGUAACCUGCCCUUGACUUUGGGAUAACUUCAGGAAACUGGGGCUAAUACCGGAUAGGAGCUCCUGCUGCAUGGUGGGGGUUGGAAAGUUUCGGCGGUUGGGGAUGGACUCGCGGCUUAUCAGCUUGUUGGUGGGGUAGUGGCUUACCAAGGCUUUGACGGGUAGCCGGCCUGAGAGGGUGACCGGCCAAAUUGGGACGGAGAUACGGCCCAGACUCCUACGGGAGGCAGCAGUGGGGAAUAGUGCACAAUGGGCGGAAGCCUGAUGCAGCAACGCCGCGUGCGGGAUGACGGCCUUCGGGUUGUAAACCGCUUUCGCCUGUGACGAAGCGUGAGUGACGGUAAUGGGUAAAGAAGCACCGGCUAACUACGUG